rnacentral:hammerhead_ribozyme from 1 species
ACCAAGCCGACGAGUCUCAAAUAGGACGAAAUGUGCAUCCUGGAU